rnacentral:lncRNA from 1 species
UUGUGCGAGAAAGUUGUAGCGCGGACUCUAGGUGAGUGACUUUAAUAUAUGUGAUAUUGGUGAUUACCCUGUUUUCGUAAUUGUUAUCCUAUGUGGAUAUGACUUGGUUUUAUAAAUAUGUUUUCUAUUCAAUUGUUAUUUUUUUUUAAUAUUUAGCCAUCAAUGUAGUUUUAUGAAAUGUUGUUUGACUUGCAUAUUGGAAAUAUGGUUUGACUUGUAUGUUUGGCCUGAUGUGAUGAAAUGUGAGUGCUAGUAGUGGACCAUGAACCCAUUGUCAUGGGGUUUGUUGCUUCGAGACUUGUUUCACAUAUUUUAUCAUUAUUUCAUUUCUUGUUUCGUUAAGCCGUUCUAAUUGUGUACCUUGUGCUUUGUUCCAUUUCUUGUUUCAUUAAGCUUUUGUAUUUUGGGUACUGGUUUCAUGUCUUGUUCUUCAAAUCAUAUCAGAGAGUAUUCUCCUUCAAGCGACUUGAAGGUUAGAGAUCCCUUGUUGCGCAUUCACUUGUCUCCAUAGCUAAGCGGCUU